rnacentral:rRNA from 1 species
UANANAUGCAGUCGNCGGUAGCAGGAAGGAAGCUUGCUUUCUUUGCUGACGAGUGGCGGACGGGUGAGUAAUNCUUGGGAAUCUGGCUUAUGGAGGGGGAUAACUGCGGGAAACUGCAGCUAAUACCGCGUAAAGUCUUUGGACUAAAGGGGGCGUUUGCUCUUGCCAUAAGAUGAGCCCAAGUGGGAUUAGGUAGUUGGUGGGGUAAUGGCUCACCAAGCCGUCGAUCUCUAGCUGGUCUGAGAGGAUGACCAGCCACACCGGGACUGAGACACGGCCCGGACUCCUACGGGAGGCAGCAGUGGGGAAUAUUGCGCAAUGGGGGAAACCCUGACGCAGCCAUGCCGCGUGAAUGAAGAAGGCCUUCGGGUUGUAAAGUUCUUUCGGUGAUGAGGAAGGCAGUUUGGUUAAUAGCCAAGCUGAUUGACGUUAGUCACAGAAGAAGCACCGGCUAACUCCGUGCCAGCAGCCGCGGUAAUACGGAGGGUGCGAGCGUUAAUCGGAAUAACUGGGCGUAAAGGGCACGCAGGCGGAUUUUUAAGUGAGGUGUGAAAGCCCCGGGCUUAACCUGGGAAUUGCAUUUCAGACUGGGAAUCUAGAGUACUUUAGGGAGGGGUAGAAUUCCACGUGUAGCGGUGAAAUGCGUAGAGAUGUGGAGGAAUACCGAAGGCGAAGGCAGCCCCUUGGGAAUGUACUGACGCUCAUGUGCGAAAGCGUGGGGAGCAAACAGGAUUAGAUACCCUGGUAGUCCACGCUGUAAACGCUGUCGAUUUGGGGGUUGGGGUUUAACUCUGGCGCCCGUAGCUAACGUGAUAAAUCGACCGCCUGGGGAGUACGGCCGCAAGGUUAAAACUCAAAUGAAUUGACGGGGGCCCGCACAAGCGGUGGAGCAUGUGGUUUAAUUCGAUGCAACGCGAAGAACCUUACCUACUCUUGACAUCCAGAGAAUCCUGUAGAGAUACGGGAGUGCCUUCGGGAGCUUUGAGACAGGUGCUGCAUGGCUGUCGUCAGCUCGUGUUGUGAAAUGUUGGGUUAAGUCCCGCAACGAGCGCAACCCUUAUCCUUUGUUGCCAGCGAUUAGGUCGGGAACUCAAGGAGACUGCCGUGUAACCGAGAGAGGGGGGGGGGNAGAANUAAUA